rnacentral:rRNA from 1 species
AGUGAACGCUGGCGGUAGGCCUAACACAUGCAAGUCGAACGGCAGCACAGUAAGAGCUUGCUCUUACGGGUGGCGAGUGGCGGACGGGUGAGGAAUACAUCGGAAUCUACUUUUUCGUGGGGGAUAACGUAGGGAAACUUACGCUAAUACCGCAUACGACCUACGGGUGAAAGCAGUGGAUCUUCGGACCUUGCGCGAUUGAAUGAGCCGAUGUCGGAUUAGCUAGUUGGCGGGGUAAAGGCCCACCAAGGCGACGAUCCGUAGCUGGUCUGAGAGGAUGAUCAGCCACACUGGAACUGAGACACGGUCCAGACUCCUACGGGAGGCAGCAGUGGGGAAUAUUGGACAAUGGGCGCAAGCCUGAUCCAGCAAUACCGCGUGGGUGAAGAAGGCCUUCGGGUUGUAAAGCCCUUUUGUUGGGAAAGAAAAGCAGCAGGAUAAUACCCCGCUGUUCUGACGGUACCCAAAGAAUAAGCACCGGCUAACUUCGUG